rnacentral:rRNA from 1 species
UACGAAGGGUGCAAGCGUUACUCGGAAUUACUGGGCGUAAAGGGUGCGUAGGUGGUUGUUUAAGUCUGUUGUGAAAGCCCCGGGCUCAACCUGGGAAUGGCAAUGGAUACUGGACAGCUAGAGUGCGGUAGAGGGUAGUGGAAUUCCCGGUGUAGCAGUGAAAUGCGUAGGGAUCGGGAGGAACACCAGUGGCGAAGGCGGCUAUCUGGACCAGCACUGACACUCAGGCACGAAAGCGUGGGGAGCAAACAGG